AGUGAACGCUGGCGGCAGGCCUAACACAUGCAAGUCGAGCGGCAGCACAGAGCUUGCUCCUGGAUUCGGCUGCGGACUGGCGGGUAGUUCCUAGGAAUCUGCCUGUUUAUUUUUUCGAACGGCCGGAAACGGGCGCUAAUAGCUCAUACCGCCUACGGCCUACAGUUGAAAAUCUUCGAACCUCACGCUUUCAGAGAAUCCUAGGUCGGAUUAGCUAGUUGGUGGGGUAAAGGCCUACCAAGGCGACGAUCCGUAACUGGUCUGAGAGGAUGAUCAGCCACACUGGAACUGAGACACGGUCCAGACUCCUACGGGAGGCAGCAGUGGGGAAUAUUGGACAAUGGGCGCAAGCCUGAUCCAGCCAUGCCGCGUGUGUGAAGAAGGUCUUCGGAUUGUAAAGCCCUUUAAGUGGGGAAGAAGGGCAGUAAGUUAAUACCUUGCUGUUUUGACGUUACCAAAAGAAUAAGCACCGGCUAACUUCGUG
rnacentral:rRNA from 1 species